UGUGUAUAUGUGUGUGUGUGUAUAUAUAUAUAUAUAUAUAUAUAUAUAUAUACAAACACACACACACACAAACAUG